rnacentral:lncRNA from 13 species
AUGAGUAACACACCUGUGCACCUCACUCAGUUUGGUUCUGCUAAUCACAGCAGUGGGACCCUCGGCACCUGUCUAGGUCAAGGACCACAGGGUGCACCAGCCCGCAGGACAGAACAUCAUUUCAGCUGGAGUGCAAUUGUGCGAUCUCGGCUCACCGAAAUCUCCGCCUCCAGGUUCAAGCGAUUCUCCUGCCUCAGCCUCUGGAGUAGCUGGGAUUACAGGCGUGCUCCACCACGCCCGGCUAAAAUUGUUGUAUUUUUAGUAGAGACGGGGGUGUCUCCAUGUUGGUCAGGCUGGUCUAGAACUCCCGACCAUCCGCCCACCUCGGCCUCCCAAAGUGUUGGGAUUACAGGCAUGAGCCACCGCGCCCGGCCCGAAUCCACGGGAUUUCUACUCGCAGACGCAUGCCGCGAGUAGACACGCUUAGAAGGAGCGGGGCUGAGACCCUGGCGAGAGCAGGGGACAGGAAAGGGUGCCUUGGGAGCGCCCCACACGGGUUCCCAGACAAACAUCCAGGGAAACCCCAGCCUUCAGGUGCUGUCCGCAAGAGGGCCGAGCACACAGGCUCCCGUGCCUUUCAGCGGCGGCCGGUGUUACGGCCUCGGGACCCUGAGAGUCGUCGCGUCCAGGGCCGACUCCGGCUUUUGCUAACAGAACAGUCCUCCACCUCCCCGCGACCCAGCGAGGCCACCGGAGCCAGGACGACGGGCUCGCAAGCGAGGAGACGUGGGCCGCGGUGAGAACUAAGAGCUCCGGGCUCCUGUCGGGGCUGCAAGGUCGCUCGCUGCCACUGACUCCGGGAAACCGGGGGUUAGUGACAGGUGCUCACAGUCCGUAAACUCUUCCACUUUUAUGCAGCUCCCGUCAUCCCUUUCACGAAGAACGUACGGGGGCGCGAAAUCACGCACGUACGUACACCACGCACAUACGCAGGAGGCACGUACUCAGCCUUGCAUAUAGACAGCCAAGUCUUUAGAAAUCCACUCUUCAUGAAGCCACGCGUGACGUCAUCACGCACUUAGGCACGCACUGGUCGCCCGGAGACGCUGUUCAGUUUACGGGUCCUGACGCCCGCCAGCCCACCAGGCCAGCAGGGGAGCUGGAGACCCGCAGCCUGGACAAACAACCGGAGGGAGGAAAAAAAGAGUGUCGGGACAAAGCCACCAUGCAGGAGUUUUAAGCUCAGAGCUGCGAUACCAGUAGGGAGGAG